UAUCCUCGAUUCCCAUACAAAAGGUGGCAGUGGUUGAGAAUUCUGUUAUCUCUGUGAAACUUACCCAGUCUCCUUUCUUUCUCAAGAACAGCCAAGAACUGCCAAAGGGAAGCCAAUGUCUGGGAACCGCCAAAGCAGCCACUGAUAUUUGAAGAGCACCUUCUACUUUACAAAGAAUUCUCACAGGUCCGAGUUUCUGGGACAUAGUCGGAAUAUCUACAUCCAGUCACAAUAGUCAAGGAACUCUCUGUGUAAUUUGAUGUUGGAAAUCAAUACUGCAUGUCUCUGACCGAAUGGGAAGGUGGAAAUGAAGACUCUCAUUGCUCCAGGUGGACUGUUUUGUAUUUUGUAGUUUCAAAGAGGCAUUUUGAACAUGGAUUUGGAGAGCGCUGUAUCCACUCCUACCCUCCAGAGCGUGUGGAUUUGGAGAUUUGCAAGGAAGCUAGAACAGCACAACUGUCUUUCGGGAAGAUCUUCGGAGUUGAAGAGGGUCGGAUUUGAAGACACCAAUGCAACUACUUAUUUUAGCCAGAAAUUGUUAAACUCCCUGUUGGAAGGGCAGUCACCCCAGUUACCUCCUUACCUAAGACAUUCCUUUUUGUCCCUGGUCUGUAAUAAGACAGAUAGGCAGCAUUUAGCAUAGCAGACUGUACAGAGGGCUGGCUGGAAAACCAAGGGCUCAAGGAGGGUCGAAUUGUCACCUCCCCGCCCACACACACACACUGUGAGGUUCUUAUCUUUUGAACAUCACUGAUUGCCCUAGGGAGCCUGGGUUCCAUGUGGCCAGUGAGUUAGCCCGGCAUGACACAGGCUGGGAAGCUUUCUUCACCUUUAAGAUUUCUGCUUUGCUGUUAGUUUGACAGUGGGGCUUUCCUUCUGACCUGAAAAGGGAAAGCAAGCUGUGCUCAUGCUCACACACCCCGGGGGAGCAGCCAGCUACACCCCAAUGUCCCCUGCCCAAGUGAGACCCGCUAAGUGAAUCAUGCAAUUCUGAAGGACCCCAGCUGGGAUAACGUUGACGUCGGCCUUAGAGGAAGAUAAUACAGAGACAAAAACAGCAGUUGGAAUGAGGCCGAGAGGGGACCGGGGGAGCCAUUAGGCAGGUCCCCCGAGGGAGAAGCUCUGAGAGCUCACAUUGGGAAAGGAAUGAGGAGCAUCACUUCUGAACUCACCAGCAGCCCAGGUCGGAGGCAGGUGGCAGAGGGCAAAGGGCUAUUACAAGCGCUGUCCUCUACAGCCCGCCACGGAGGAGGAGGACCAGGCAGGAAGUGAAGGGAGCUGGGUGGGCAGGAACAGUCCCUGCUCAGUCGCAGAGCACCCAGGGGAGGCGGUCCUGGAAAAGGCCAGCCUCUGUCUAACACCCUUUGUCACCUCACCCUGCUCAUUCGCACACCUGUCCCCCUCUCCAGAGACCUGCGCAAGAAACCCAGCUGCUCUUUGAAUGUCAAAUCUUCAUCAGUCAGAGAAAUUAAAAAAAGAACAAAACACCCAAACCUGCGAACCCUAAGUAGAGACCUUAGAAUGGUUUUUGCUCCCCCUUUUUCUCAAAACCCACAACCAUCCGAUCUCCCCAAACAGCCUCAGCCAGCUGUGGACCUCAAAAGCUCUAGCAUGUGUGUACCCCUCUGUCUUUGUGGGAAUCGCACCAGCAUCGCCCACAGCCCCACGAUCACGAUCACCAUCAAUGUGCCCUGCUGUGUUUACAUUCCAGAACAAAGCGGGGUUUGUUGAUAGGACCGGGCAGCAGUGAACCAGACACAGGACUUCCUAGCUGAGUACACUGUCUCAUCCCCUCCUGGACAGUUCCUGGCUUUUACAGUGAUGUCAGUAUCGGAACGUUUUCCAGCGCAGAAGUAGCUCAUGACUACUAGAGUCUAUGACUCCCUCAAAGUAACUGAUCUGCGGCAGUCAAGCAAGGAAGAAUGUGCUCAGAUGAACUUUGUUGAACUCAGAACUUCCUCCCUUUCCUCCUCCUCUGCACUUCCUUUUCUCCUGCAUUUAGAAAGGCACAUUUGAGGAAAUUCACCAGGUCCCAGAAGUCUCCUUUCCAGUGAUUUGUGUAUGUUGUUGCACCCUGGCCUGUGUUCCUGUUGUAGAGACCCCAUGCUGCUACAUCUUGCCAGUCCCUACCUUGGUGGUCUUAAAGGUGACCCCUUUCCCAGUCUCUGUCACAUGAUUCUCUGAUUUGUCUUUAAACACAUCUGGGCACUCACCUCUUCUUGAAGCAUUCCCAUCUGGGGUAAUUUGAAGUGUGCCUGGGUCUCCAGUUGGUGGUUCUGUUUGAGGAGCUGAGGAGGCAAGGCCUUGCUGGAUAAAGAAUGUCACUGGAGGUGGGCUUUGAGGCCUUGUCCCCCACUUCUGGCUCAUUCUAUCUCUUGUGUUAGUAGUUGGGAUGUGCGCUCCCAGCUUCCGGCCCUGGGUGCCAUGCCUGUGGCUUGCUGUCAUGCUUCCCUGCCUCAGUGGACUCCUAUGCCUCUGGAACCAUAAGCUCAAAUAAACUCUAACGUCUA